GAUGUUGGGUUCGGGGCGUGACAGAAUGGUAUCAGAGCUUAGGUUAUGAUAAUUUGGAGAUUAUGAUAUAAGUGAUUAGGAAGUGACAGAAUGGUAUCAGAGCUUAGGUUAAGAUCAUUGGAGAUUAUGAUAUACGUGAUAGGAUAUGACAGAAUAAUAUCAGAGCUUAGAUAAUGAUCAUGUGUGAUUUAUGAUUAGGAUAUGACAAAGUGGUAUCAGAGCUUAGGUUUAAGAUCACCAGAGAUUAUGAAGAGAUAUUAAAACUUUAUGUAAGAUCAAUAGGAUGUGACAAAGUAGUAUCAGAGCUCAGGUUAUGAUCAUUAAGGAUUAUAAUAUAAGUGAUUUAAAUAUUACAGAGUAAUAACAGAGUUUAGGUUAUGAUCAUUGGGGAUUAUGAUAUAAGUGAUUAGGAUUUGAUA
rnacentral:lncRNA from 1 species